rnacentral:rRNA from 1 species
AGUGAACGCUGGCGGUAGGCCUAACACAUGCAAGUCGAACGGCAGCACAGUAAGAGCUUGCCCUUACGGGUGGCGAGUGGCGGACGGGUGAGGAAUACAUCGGAAUCUACUUUUUCGUGGGGGAUAACGUAGGGAAACUUAUGCUAAUACCGCAUAUGAUCUACGGGUGAAAGCAGGGGAUCUUCGGACCUUGCGCGACUGAAUGAGCCGAUGUCGGAUUAGCUAGUUGGCGGGGUAAAGGCACACCAAGGCGACGAUCCGUAGCUGAUCUGAGAGGAUGAUCAGCCACACUGGAACUGAGACACGGUCCAGACUCCUACGGGAGGCAGCAGUGGGGAAUAUUGGACAAUGGGCGCAAGCCUGAUCCAGCCAUGCCGCGUGAGUGAAGAAGGUCUUCGGGUUGUAAAGCCCUUUUGUUAGGGAAGAAAAGCAGCAGGUUAAUACCCCGCUGUUCUGACGGUACCCAAAGAGUAAGCACCGGCUAACUUCGUG